GUUGCAUGAUCGACUAGGCACAUCAUCCCAAUCAUCACAUCAGGUAAUUAUAUUACUAAAUACUUUUACUUAUUUUAAAUUUUUAUAUUUAGAAGCUUCAUAUAUUUAGGUUUGAGUCCGAAAAGAGGAUCUAAGGGCUAAAAAUUUAAUCUAACCAUUUAAUUGAUGGGUUAGAGGUGUUUAUAGCUCCGUAUUAUUAAAUAGAAUAUG
rnacentral:lncRNA from 1 species